rnacentral:rRNA from 1 species
UACGGAGGGGGCUAGCGUUGUUCGGAAUUACUGGGCGUAAAGCGCACGUAGGCGGCUUUGUAAGUUAGAGGUGAAAGCCCAGGGCUUAACCCUGGAAUUGCCUUUAAGACUGCAUCGCUAGAAUCGUGGAGAGGUAAGUGGAAUUUCGAGUGUAGAGGUGAAAUUCGUAGAUAUUGGGAAGAACACCGGUGGCGAAGGCGGCUCACUGGCUCAUUUCUGACGCUCAGGCGCGACAGCGUGGGGAUCAAACAGG